UACGGAGGGUGCAACCGUUGCUCGGAAUCAUUGGGCGUAAAGCGCACGUAGGCGGCGCAGCAAGUCGGGUGUGAAAGCCCUGGGCUCAACCCAGGAAGUGCAUUCGAAACUAUUUCGCUUGAAUCUCGGAGGGGGUCAGAGAAUUCCCGGUGUAGAGGUGAAAUUCGUAGAUAUCGGGAGGAAUACCAGUGGCGAAGGCGCUGACCUGGACGAAGAUUGACGCUGAGGUGCGAAAGCGCGGGGAGCAAACAGG
rnacentral:rRNA from 1 species